rnacentral:rRNA from 1 species
AUGUGUACUUAUACAGGCGAAAAGGAUGACCCAAUGCGUCAUAGCCCUGAGGACUUACCAGAUGAUGUGGUAGAUGCUACUGUCCAAUCGCUUUUGAAGGAGGGCACUGUAACCAGCAACACCUUCGGUUUACUUCCCUUCUGCAAGAAGAACCCGGCUCCUGCGGCCGAUGAUAAUUUCUGGAAGGUCAAAUAUGACCAUGAGGCUGCCAAACAGGCCAGGGCGGCCAAGAAGACCGAAAGAAAAGCCGCCAGGACGGGCACCUCUAAGAAGAAGAAACCCAGCACCUCUGACAUGCUUAAAUUGGACGACUCUUCUUCGGAUGAGGAAGAUGUAAUCUUUUUUGAUUUUCUGUAA